rnacentral:lncRNA from 1 species
UUUCACGAGUUGCUACACCGUGUCAAUUCCUUUGCUCCUCCGACGAGAGAUUCUACAAGUGGCUAGAAGAAUUGCAGUUAACUAGUUUUAGUCUUAGGAAAUUUAUAGUUUCGUUUGGCAAUAUUUUUAAUCUUAGGAUUUAUUUUUCGCAUGUUUUAUUUUUAUAUUCAGUCAAAUACUACAUUAUGUUUAUUUUUAUGAAGCUACUGGCAUUAUUGGUUAAAUUAAAUUUCAUUUUGAUUUAUGCACUGUCUAAAAUUACCAAUGAUGAUAUAUAUUGUAUGCUACUACUUACAUGGCUUAUUAGAGAAAAAAAAAAAUAUAUUCUAUGGUGUAGUAAAGUAGCAUCCAUGACACACACAAAAAAACAUAAAAUAAUAAAAAUAACAAAUAUAAUAAACAAAACAUUAAUAAAAAUAAAAAAAUUUAAUAAAGCACCCACGCAUGUUGUCACGAACGUU